rnacentral:piRNA from 1 species
UUCCUGAAUUCCAGCCCAGCCAUGGCCCA